rnacentral:lncRNA from 1 species
UUGAAUUUUCGAAUUUCCGAAAAAAAAAAUAUAUAUAUAUAUAUAUUUUUUAAAGCUUUGUAGGUGAAGCUUUGUAGGUGAAGCUUUGAGGUUGAAGCUUUGUUGGGCACCAUGAAUUGAUUUUGCUUCACACUAUCUUGAUUAAGAUAGUGUGAAGUUUUUGUGUUGAAGCUUUGUAGGUGAAGCUUUUGUGGGUGAAGCUUUUGUGGGUCAAGCUUUGAAGUUGAAGCUUUUGUUGGGUACCAUGAAUUGAUUUUGCUUCACACUAUCUUGAUCAAGAUAAUGUGAAGCUUUUGAGAAUUUGUAGUUGUCCUCCAUUGAUGAAGCUUUUGUUGGUGAAGCUUUGGAGUUGAAGCUUUUGUUGAACUUUUUUUUUUUUUGGGAAACUAGAAAUUUGAAAAUGUGGGAAAGACAACAUAUACAAAUUUUGCUUCCACACUGUUGAGCAAGAGAUUGUGAUGCAAGCCACACCUUGUAGUAGUCGAAGGUUUGGAUGAACCAUAUAAAUUGAAUUUGCUUCAAACAGUCUUGAAUUUGCUUCGAAGGUUUGAGAAUUGUAGUUGCCCACAAUUGAUGAAGCUUUUGUUGGCACUAUAAAUUGGUUUUGCUUCACACUGUCUUGAUCAAGAGUGUGUGAAGCUUUUGAGAAUUGUGGUUGAACUCCUUUGAUGAAGCUUUUGUUGGUACCAUAAAUUGGUUAUCCUUCACAUUGUCUUGAUCAAGAGUGUGUGAAACUUUUGAGAAUUGUGGUUGCCCUCCAUUGAUGAAGCUCUUAUUGGCACCAUAAAUUGAUUUUGCUUCACACUGUCUUGAUCAAGAGUGUGUGAAACUUUUGAGAAUUGUGGUUGCCCUCCAUUGAUGAAGCUCUUGUUGGCACCAU